rnacentral:lncRNA from 1 species
UUCUCUGCCGACGUCCUCGAAGAACGGAGUCCGAGCAGAGAAGCGUCUUCAGCCGCCUCGGCGCAAGGACGCAUAUGGUACAAGGUACCCAUUCAUUUAAUGCUUCUACAUUGUCUUGGAUUUUUCUCUGCCGAUGUCCUCAAAGAACGGACGUCGAGCAGAGGAGCGUCUUCAAUCGCCUCGGCGAAGGAGCGCUCAUGACACCAGCAUAUCAUUACACUAAGUCCGGUGAAUUCCCGUCACGAGUUGACGAGCAUUCGACCCAUUCGUUGGAAACGAAUCUGGUCCGCCCCGGCAAUGCGAGGGUCGAAGUUCACUAAUUACGCAAAAAUUUUAAGUCCUAGAGACCGCCUUAGGGCUCGGUCGAAUUCUGGACUGAGCUCGGAAAGACUUUCCGAGCCCAAAUCCUUGGUAUAAGCACAAGCGUUGUUAUACCACUGGUUGAAGGACCGAGCAAUGGAGCUCGGCAAGCCAAACUUAAACUCAAACCCUGUGGCGGGUAAA